CUACGGGACGCAGCAGUGGGGAAUCUUAGACAAUGGGGGCAACCCUGAUCUAGCCAUGCCGCGUGAGUGAUGAAGGCCUUAGGGUCGUAAAGCUCUUUCGCCUGUGAUGAUAAUGACAGUAGCAGGUAAAGAAACCCCGGCUAACUCGCGUGCCAGCAGCCGCGGUAAUACGGAGGGGGUUAGCGUUGUUCGGAAUUACUGGGCGUAAAGCGCGCGUAGGCGGAUUAGAAAGUUGGGGGUGAAAUCCCGGGGCUCAACCUCGGAACUGCCUCCAAAAUUGCUAGUCUAGAGUUCGAGAGAGGUGAGUGGAAUUCCGAGUGUAGAGGUGAAAUUCGUAGAUAUUCGGAGGAACACCAGUGGCGAAGGCGGCUCACUGGCUCGAUACUGACGCUGAGGUGCGAAAGUGUGGGGAGCAAACAGGAUUAGAUACCCCCGUAGUC
rnacentral:rRNA from 1 species